GAGUGAGCGAACUCUCGUUAAGGAACUCGGCAAAAUGACCCCGUAACUUCGGGAGAAGGGGUGCUCUUUAGGGUUAACACCCAGAAGAGCCGCAGUGAAUAGGCCCAAGCGACUGUUUAUCAAAAACACAGGUCUCUGCUAAACCGUAAGGUGAUGUAUAGGGGCUGACGCCUGCCCGGUGCUGGAAGGUUAAGAGGAGUGGUUAG
rnacentral:rRNA from 1 species